rnacentral:rRNA from 1 species
GACGAACGCUGGCGGCGUGCUUAACACAUGCAAGUCGAACGGUAAGGCCCUUCGGGGUACACGAGUGGCGAACGGGUGAGUAACACGUGGUGAUCUGCCCUGCACUUCGGGAUAAGCCUGGGAAACUGGGUCUAAUACCGGAUAGGACCAUGGACUUCACGGUUUGUGGUGGAAAGCUUUUGCGGUGUGGGAUGGGCCCGCGGCCUAUCAGCUUGUUGGUGGGGUAAUGGCCUACCAAGGCGACGACGGGUAGCCGGCCUGAGAGGGUGUCCGGCCACACUGGGACUGAGAUACGGCCCAGACUCCUACGGGAGGCAGCAGUGGGAAUAUUGCACAAUGGGCGCAAGCCUGAUGCAGCGACGCCGCGUGAGGGAUGACGGCC